rnacentral:rRNA from 1 species
UACGUAGGGGGCAAGCGUUGUCCGGAUUUACUGGGCGUAAAGAGCGUGUAGGCGGCCACGCAGGUCCGUUGUGAAAACUGGAGGCUCAACCUCCAGACGUCGACGGAAACCGUAUGGCUAGAGUCCGGAAGAGGAGAGUGGAAUUCCUGGUGUAGCGGUGAAAUGCGCAGAUAUCAGGAAGAACACCAAUGGCGAAGGCAGCUCUCUGGGACGGUACUGACGCUGAGACGCGAAAAGCGUGGGGGAGCGAACAGG